rnacentral:misc_RNA from 1 species
GAUGAAGAACGCAGCGAAAUGCGAUAAGUAGUGUGAAUUGCAGAAUUCCGUGAAUCAUCGAAUCUUUGAACGCACAUUGCGCCUUCUGGUAUUCCGGAAGGCAUGCCUGUUCGAGAGUCAUUAACAACCGUUUCGAUCCCUUUCUUUCAGAAAUUACAAAGAGGAAAAGGGUUUGGUUAUGGUGGAGGAGGGAAAGGGAGCGUUUAGCCUGUAAAAAAAGAGGCUGUGUUCCGCCUCCCCCCCAAAAUUGUACAGGCGGUCGUGUGCGCCCACGCAUCGAGGUGUUGUAAAAGCUGCCACGGCACUUUUCACCUGUGCAGUGCGAGAUUGGCCAGCCGGUUUAAAAACCCCUCCAAACAAUCAAAGGUUGACCUCGGAUCAGGUAGGGAUACCCGCUGAACUUAAGCAUAUCAAUAGCGGAGA